AUUGAACGCUGGCGGCGCGCUUAACACAUGCAAGUCGAGCGAAGCGGCGGACGGGUGAGUAACACGUGAGUAACCUGCAUUAGACAUUGGGCUAGCCUCGGGAAAACGGGAUUAAUACCCAAUGGUCUAAGAUGGACUCGCGUCCCAUUAGCUAGUUGGUGAGGUAACGGCCCACCAAGGCGACGAUGGGUAGCCGGCCUGAGAGGGUGAACGGCCACAUUGGAACUGAGAAACGGUCCAAACUCUACGGGAGGCAGCAGUGGGGAAUAUUGCACAAUGGAGGGAACUCUGAUGCAGCGACGCCGCGUGAACGAAGAAGGCUUUCGAGUCGUAAAGUUCUUUUAUAUGGGAAGCGGUACCAUAAGAAAAAGCCCCGGCUAACUACGUGCCAGCCGCCGCGGUAAUUC
rnacentral:rRNA from 1 species